rnacentral:lncRNA from 1 species
ACCACUCAGAAUUAUCCGUGAACUCCGAGCAUUUCAUUGGCUAUAUGUAGAAACAACCAUGCUGAUAGUUAUGGUGCAACUCUCCUAUUGAGUUUUCCAGAGAGCUCAUCAGCCAUCGACAUCGCAACACCACCACAUACUUACACACCUUGCAUCAAAUGUCAGUCAAUACUAUGUGCAGAUAUGCUAACCUACGUCAGUAAGAACACAUCCUCUAUCAUGGCAACUGGCUACAUGCCAUGAGAAUGUUUCCAUCUUACUUUACAGCACCAAAUCCGUGUCCUCCUUCGCCAGGAGAGACGCAUUGUCCGACCCCAAUUAGUUAGCCGGCCCUGCUACACCUUUGGACAAUUUCUCUUCACGUGAUCAGUUUGAUCGCGGUUCCAACAAGUUACUUUCUUUCUCAUGGAGUUGUCGUUCUUUCCCUUUUCAGUCACAAGUACUGGAUUGUCAGAUGGAGUAUUCUGUCCCCCUAACUUCUUUCUUCUGAGAUCAAGUUGCUUGUCACUUUUGCGAAACUCACAGUUUCCUUCCCAUACAUCAAGUUUGACUUGAUAUAUUUAUAGGUAGAUGGAAGAGACCAGAUGAGCCGUAAUGCUUUAUCUUCAUCAUCUAUCUUCACUUCAAUAUACUCUAUAGUUCUGAAAUAAUCCCAUUUAGAACACUCAGAUGGUCUGAGAUUUUCGUACCUGCCUCUAUGCGCAAUGAAUUCCUUCAAGUACAACUGAUUUGAGAGACUCUUCGUUUGAUAUAGUUCUUCUAGCUUCUCCUAUAAUUCCUUUGUAGCAGAUAUUCCAUGAAUAUUUGCACGAACAUUUUUAGCCAGACAGAGACGUAUCAUGCUUGCAGCCUUUAAAUCCAAUUCUUCCCAAUCCUCAUCGCUCAUACUAGAUUCAUCUUCCUUGCCAGAACUCUUAGUUGGUUUUCCUUUCAAAGCCUUGUGCAAUCCAGUUUGAAUCAAUAAAUCCCUAACUUGUACUUGCUACAAGCCAAAGUUGAUUCUCUC